AAGACACAAUGUGCCCCACAAAUAUUACUUACGUGGCCUCUUCGUGGUGACCCUGGGUGAUUGUCCAAAGUUGAUUUGCACAACCAGCUUAUUCGAGUGGCGAAACAAGAUGGCCCAUUCUUUAUGUGACGGAAGAUUAAACUGGAUAGUAGAAUUCUACGGCAGUCGGCCAAAAACUGGACUAUCGUGGUGGAUGCGUUUUAAACCCAAAUCGCGGGAAGAGCUUUGCUCGAAGUGGAGGUGCGUUUCAGCCGAAAACAUUGAAUUUUUGAGGUUUUAGAGCGGCCUCACCUCCCACCAAUCAGGGAAUGUAUUGCUUCCGUCAAGCAUUCAUUCUAUGGGUACCGAAGGGACACUGUGCACGCAGGCUUUGUGCUUUUUGUAUUUUCGAAUACCGUGAGAUUGAGCCGAAAAUGCAGGCUUUAACGUAAAAUACGCUGACUCAACUGGACUCGACGAAGGCACUGCUCGUGAAAACGAUGAUUACGCUUAUCUGGACAUCUGCCAUCCAAGCUUGGGGCACGGCGUCAGCACACCAGCUGCACCGCAUAAGAGUGGUCCAAACCAAGGCGGCACGAAAGGUUGCCGGCCUGCCAUGGUACGUGACAACCGACGCCAUCGAACGCGAUCUCCGCCUAAAAAGAUCGGAGAUCAAUUAAGCUCUUUCAGCAGCCGAUACGCUGACAAGCUGCGACAGCACCCUAAAGCGGCCGCCAGGGUCCUGGCUGACCCCACCACAGUCAGGCGCCUCCAAAGGCUACACCAUGACGACCAACCUACAAGACAUUCCUUAAACAUCAUCAUUGUAAAUAACAUCCCUGUAAAGAUCAUACAAGUUACCACUAACUAGUUCGCCUAUGAAGUUAAAUUAACACUUCACUUAUUUUCGAUUUUUUUAACGAAAACUAAUUACAAUUAGAAAGAAACAUUAUCCGACUUAAAAUGUAUUUUCUAUCCUUUAAACGUCCAUUCUAACAAUCCUAUAGCUUUUGACUAUUUGAUGCCGGCCAAGUUUUUAACACAUAUACCACGAUAUAUAAUGUCUUACUUCAUUUCAGUAAAGUAUUCACCAAAAUUAUUUGGAUUCUUUAACCACAAAAAUUAUCAAUUAAGACCCCUAAAGUGGAAAAAACACAAUUAGACACAAUUAUUCCCUGAUCCUUAUUUUACCAAAAACACAAGCAUGAGCGAGUAUUCGCUUUAUC